rnacentral:rRNA from 1 species
AAUACCCCAUACGAUCCAAUGACGACGGUCAUUGGAUGAAAGGGGCGUUUCGCCUCGCCGAGGGAUGAGCCCGCGGCCCAUCAGGUAGUUGGUGGGGUAAUGGCCCACCAAGCCUACGACGGGUAGCUGGCCUGAGAGGGUGGUCGGCCACAAGGGCACUGAGACACGGGCCCUACUCCUACGGGAGGCAGCAGUGGGGAAUCUUGGACAAUGGGCGAAAGCCUGAUCCAGCGACGCCGCGUGGGGGACGAAGCCCUUCGGGGUGUAAACCCCUGUUGCGAGGGAGGAAUAAGACCUGGAGGAAAUGCCAGGUCGAUGACUGUACCUCGCGAGAAAGCCCCGGCUAACUACGUGCCAGCAGCCGCGGUAAUACGUAGGGGGCGAGCGUUACCCGGAUUCACUGGGCGUAAAGGGGGUGUAGGCGGCUCGGUAAGUCGGGUGUGAAAUCCCACGGCUCAACCGUGGAAUUGCGCCCGAAACUGCCGAGCUUGGGGCCGGUAGAGGGAGACGGAACUGCCGGUGUAGGGGUGAAAUCCGUAGAUAUCGGCAGGAACGCCGGUGGGGAAGCCGGUCUCCUGGGCCGCGCCCGACGCUGAGGCCCGAAAGCUAGGGGAGCAAACCGGAUUAGAUACCCGGGUAGUCCUAGCCGUAAACGAUGCCCACUAGGUGUGGGGGAGUAUUUCCUCCGUGCUGUAGCUAACGCGUUAAGUGGGCCGCCUGGGGAGUACGCCCGCAAGGGUGAAACUCAAAGGAAUUGGCGGGACCCCGCACAAGCGGUGGAGCGCGUGGUUUAAUUGGAUGCUGAGCCAAGAACCUUACCAGGGCUUGACAUGCAGGUGGUACCGACCCGAAAGGGGAGGGACCCCAUCCUUUUGGGUGGGGAGCCUGCACAGGUGGUGCACGGCCGUCGUCAGCUCGUGCCGUGAGGUGUUGGGUUAAGUCCCGCAACGAGCGCAACCCCUGCCCUUAGUUGCCAUCGGUUCGGCCGGGCACUCUAAGGGGACUGCCGGCGACGAGCCGGAGGAAGGAGGGGACGACGUCAGGUACUCGUGCCCUUUAUGCCCUGGGCUACACACGCGCUACAAUGGGUGGUACAGUGGGUUGCGACCCCGCGAGGGGGAGCCAAUCCCUAAAACCACCCCCAGUUCGGAUCGCAGGCUGCAACCCGCCUGCGUGAAGCCGGAAUCGCUAGUAAUCGCG